rnacentral:rRNA from 1 species
AGAGUUUGAUCAUGGCUCAGGAUGAACGCUAGCGGCAGGCCUAACACAUGCAAGUCGAGGGGCAGCACGGGUAGCGAUACCUGGUGGCGACCGGCGCACGGGUGAGUAACGCAUAUGCAACCUACCUUUAACAGGGGAAUAGCCCGAAGAAAUUCGGAUUAAUGUCCCAUAAUAUAUAUGAGCUGCAUGGUUUAUAUAUUAAAACUCCGGUGGUUAAAGAUGGGCAUGCGUGCCAUUAGGUAGUUGGUGAGGUAACGGCUCACCAAGCCGACGAUGGCUAGGGGGCCUGAGAGGGUAGUCCCCCACACUGGUACUGAGACACGGACCAGACUCCUACGGGAGGCAGCAGUGAGGAAUAUUGCGCAAUGGAGGCAACUCUGACGCAGCCAUGCCGCGUGCAGGAAGACGGCCCUAUGGGUUGUAAACUGCUUUUAUACGGGAAUAAUUCCUGGUACGAGUACCGGGUUGAAUGUACCGUAAGAAUAAGCAUCGGCUAACUCCGUGCCAGCAGCCGCGGUAAUACGGAGGAUGCAAGCGUUAUCCGGAUUUAUUGGGUUUAAAGGGUGCGUAGGCGGGAUUGUAAGUCAGUGGUGAAAUCUUGCAGCUUAACUGUAAAAUAGCCAUUGAUACUGCAGUUCUUGAGUACAGUUGAGGUAGGCGGAAUGUGUAAUGUAGCGGUGAAAUGCUUAGAUAUUACACAGAACACCGAUUGCGUAGGCAGCUUACUAAGCUGUAACUGACGCUGAGGCACGAAAGCGUGGGUAGCGAACAGGAUUAGAUACCCUAGUAGUCC